ensembl:lncRNA
ACCACGAAUACUUUAAAGUAUAAAGUAAACAAAGACCACGGAUACUUUAAAGUAUAAAGAGCUCAGUGACAGUAGUUCUGCAUGUAGAGGUGCAGUUGUGUAGUGUCGUGUGUAGAGGUGCAGUUGUGUAGUGUCGUGUGCAGAGGUGCAGUUGUGUAGUGUCGUGUGCAGAGGUGCAGUUGUGUAGUUGUGUAGUGUCGUGUGCAGAGGUGUAGUUGUGUAGUGUCGUGUGCAGAGGUGCAGUUGUGUAGUGUCGUGUGCAGAGGUGUAGUUGUGUAGUGUCGUGUGCAGAGGUGCAGUUGUGUAGUUGUGUAGUGUCGUGUGCAGAGGUGUAGUUGUGUAGUGUCGUGUGCAGAGGUGUAGUUGUGUAGUGUCG